rnacentral:rRNA from 1 species
AUUGAACGCUGGCGGCAGGCCUAACACAUGCAAGUCGAGCGGAUGAAGGGAGCUUGCUCCUUGAUUCAGCGGCGGACGGGUGAGUAAUGCCUAGGAAUCUGCCUGGUAGUGGGGGAUAACGUCCGGAAACGGGCGCUAAUACCGCAUACGUCCUGAGGGAGAAAGGGUGGGAUCUUCGGACCUCACGCUAUCAGAUGAUCCUAGGUCGGAUUAGCUAGUUGGUGGGGUAAAGGCCUACCAAGGCGACGAUCCGUAGCUGGUCUGAGAGGAUGAUCAGUCACACUGGAACUGAGACACGGUCCAGACUCCUACGGGAGGCAGCAGUGGGGAAUAUUGGACAAAGGGCGAAAGCCUGAUCCAGCCAUGCCGCGUGUGUGAAGAAGGUCUUCGGAUUGUAAAGCACUUUAAGUUGGGAGGAAGGGCAGUAAGUUAAUACCUUGCUGUUUUGACGGUACCAACAGAAUAAGCACCGGCUAACUUCGUG